AAUAUCUUCCCCGUAGGCCGUAAGUGGUUUGGAGCUAAACAAAAUUUAAAACCGUAUAAAUAUUGAAAAUGACAAGUACAAGUGCAGGGAGUGGGCGUAUAAGUUGUUUAAUUGUUUUACCAAGUUGUGCAGGAGGUGUUUCUUCACAGUCGUUCAUACAGUGUUUCACACUGACACAUUCUGCAUUCACAGUCCAGUUGGCUACACCUGGUGGCAGAACACCAGAAUUCAUAAAUCAAGAUGAACAGAGUCGAAGAUGGUUGAAUGAUUUCCGUUCAAAACCAUUUUCAGUACCACUUUCACUGGAAAUAAUUGAUGCUAACAGAUACAUGUGCCUGUUGAUACCACAUGCUCCAGGAGCAGUCACAGACCUCGCCACUAAUGCAGAUCUGGGACAGAUUCUUAUGCACUUCAUAAAAGAGAAAAAGCUCAUAUGUGCCAUUGGGACAGGAGUAGCAGGCCUUUUGUCAGCAAAGAAUGAAGAAAAUUCUAGCUGGGGUUUCAAGUCAUACUCAAUCACAGGGUCUUCAAUAUGUGAACUAGCGCGCCGGUCAGAUUUUGCUGACAUGCCACUUCUUGUAGAGGAUGCCGUCAGAGAUGCUGGAGCAACAUUCUCUCUAUCAGAACCAAAUUGUGUGCAUGUGGUUGUGGAUAGGCACCUUGUAACUGGACAGAAUGAAGCUUCCACACUGACAGCUGUCCAGAAUCUUGUACUGCUCUCCAAUCAGAGCCGCCAAGGUAAAGGAUCCAGCAAGUAGAACUUUAUUUAUCCAGUAUGAGGAGACUAUAUUCAGAACCAAGAAACAACAGUGCAGCUUCAAGUUUUUGCUGCUGGAAUUGUAAUUUGUCCAUUACAUUAAACAGGAGGUGUGGAAUACAAGAAAAUGGCCAGGUGUGAUGACAAAUGAAUGGCAUUAACUGCUUUGGGCGGGGCUUUUUAUGUUGCGACAUCAUGGCUUGGCGAUGGCGUGGCUGUCGCAGAGCAACCACACUCUUCAAGAAUAAAAUCAAAAGACAAGAUGGUUUUGUGGCAAAUGAAAUAUUGUAGUCUUGAAUGUCAUGU
rnacentral:misc_RNA from 1 species